UACAGAGGUCUCAAGCGUUGUUCGGAUUCAUUGGGCGUAAAGGGUGCGUAGGCGGCGCGGUAAGUCGGGUGUGAAAUCUCGGGGCUUAACUCCGAAACUGCAUUCGAUACUGCCGUGCUUGAGGACUGGAGAGGAGACUGGAAUUUACGGUGUAGCGGUGAAAUGCGUAGAUAUCGUAAGGAAGACCAGUGGCGAAGGCGGGUCUCUGGACAGUUCCUGACGCUGGAGGCAACGAAGGCCAGGGGAGCAAACGGG
rnacentral:rRNA from 1 species